GUCUCCUGAAACGAAUGCACAGCACUAGGUUUAAUCGCUGAAACACGCAGCGGCCUCUGCUGCCCCAUUUCUGAGCGGCUUACUCUAGAACACAUCUCGGCACCUCAGAAGAAGGUGAGUAGCCGCUUUGGUCUGUAGCAAUAUUUGUAAUGGAAAGCCCAUAGUCAAGCCACAUGCUAAAAAGAACAAACGGAAAAGAGCGUCCCGUGUUCACCCAGCACCCACUACGAAGCUGAGAGAGAAUGAGAAUGAAGCUGGAGAACGUACUCAGAUUUCAAAGCUAUUAAUCUAGAUGCAAAAGACUGCAUUUACUAGGGGAAGGGGAAACGGCACACCCCCCUAGCUAAACCAUCUGCUUAACUUUUAAAAAACCAUUCACAGGAAUAAGGACAACCCAGAAACAAAGCCUAUGAUCCUCAGCGGAUUUCAGGGCAAUCCAAAUCGGUUUUCUAACCUAUCAUGACGUGUCCUGGCCAAAUCUACUAGACAGCAAGGGAAUGCAGACAAGCAAAAGGGAUCUUUAUGAAGCAAAGCUGGCACUCACCUAAUGUGGACCGGGGUAUGCUGGCCUCCUCUCUAGCAGUCAGUGAGGUGCUAUCAUCUCGAGAGGGCAUCUGCAUAGAACCCUGAAAAUUGGAAGGGUUGUGGGGUCAGACGGAUACAGGGACUCUGACCAUGGUGGCAGACGUGGAAUAGUCUCACAUAGUUUGCAGGUGAAACGCCCAAACUGCUGCCUCAGAUGCAGCAAGCACAUGCAGUCGCCAUGACUAUGUCAGAGUCUAGAGUUCUUACUUGAUCGGUUUGCUCUCCGUGGUGAGGCCCGAUGGACGUCACUCCAGCUGGCUGGUUAGAGAUGAACGUCUGAGACGAUGUCAUUAGUUCCUUCCCCCCUAAAUACUGGCGCAGGGCCUGCAGUUCUGAGUUCCUUUCCAUGAAGGCCUGGACCAUUUUUUCUGCAGCAGCCUGGUAAGAAGGAACCACGGCAAACGUUACCCAAGAUAUCAUAGCAAAGUAAGUGAAAUUUAUUUUCAAAUCUCUUUAAAGAUUUCUUUAUUUUUAUUUGAUGUGUAUGAGUGUUUUGCCUGCAUGCAUGUCGGUGCACCACGGAGGCCAGAGACGGUUCUACAGAACUGGAGUCAUGGAUGACCGUGAACCACCUGAAGGUUCUGGGGACAGAACCCAGCUCUUCUGUGAGAGUAGCAAGUGCUUCUUAACCACUGAGCCGUCCCUCCGGUACCCGCUACAUGUUAUUUCUUAGAAGGCAACCACUUAUUUAGAGAAAAAAGAAUCCCGUGGGAUACACAGAAACAAGUUUUCUCCUUUGUACAGUCUGUCGAAGUAGAACAGUGUGCAUAGUGAACAACAGCGUUUCUAGUCCAGGUAAGACGUCGGUCGGGAAAAGGCUCCCCGAGGUCUCUAGCAGCUAAGGUGUAAGCAUUUGUGUAGAACUGGCCUGACAAGUGGCUUCCUUUACUCUAGUUGUUUCUUCAGCCUCAGCUGCCUUUUACUCAGCAUUUGUAAGGUUGUGCUCUUCGCCAAGCAUCACACUACUGCCCUGGCCUGUUCUAUCUACGCUGCAAUCACACGGGCUGUGAUACUGACAUUGGUGUUGAGGAAGUGCGGUGGUCACAAUGGCUUCGGCGAGGAGCACCGAGGAACACUCUGUCCUUUACCUGAAGCUGUUGCAAGUGAAACAGCCACUGGCCACAGACUGUGAGCUGAUUAGAGUGACCGCUCACAAUGUGUAGAUAUGUGGUACAAGCCUUGAAUACAUACAACUUGCCAGCUGUACUUCAGUAAUGCUUGGGGGAGAACGCACUUCCACUCUGCAAAUCCUUUUGCUCUGCUUAGUUUUUCCUAACGCACUUCCUGUUUCCUCGUGUAUCCCCUUAUGGUCUUCAUUACUUUCUCCUCCUCAACAAGAGUGUAUACUUCAGGAGCAGCCUAGUGCUACAUCCCAAGUGCCCUCAGCAUGACUCGCCAGGACCAGGCACUCAGGACACAAUAAACAUCCUUAUCAGACCAAGCGAAUCUGGACCUCAAGAAUCACCACAACCUAAGUGGUCACGCGGUCAAACUGCCUUGUAAAUAUUCAUAUUUACACCCACAGGUCAGUGCUAUGCCAGUCCUCACCAGAGACGCUGCUUACCACAGCAAGUAGUGGUCAGCGUGGAAACUCGCAACUGGUCAAGGUGCAGAGUAAGUGUCUCUGCGUUCAGCCACGGACAGGACAUGACAGGCAUACUGCUCUCAAGAACUUACAAGAGCCCUCGUUGUCCAUACAAGAGCCGCAGGAGAUCAAGCACAGAGAGAGGAGGGGCUUUUGAGACCAGCCUCUAGUUUCCUAAGGCAAUGACGACACAGGAAAGACUCGGAACUUUUGUGUACAGAAGUGCAUUUACAGCUGGCACGAUGGCUCAGCAGGAGACGGUGUUUGCCAUGUUAAUCUUCCGCAUGGGAAGCUAGAAAGGCGGGCCCGCACGGACACCACUGGAACCGCUGCUGAGGCAAAGGCUGUGUAAUGUCUGCGACCGCCUCGGUGCCAGCAAUGUCAGCUAGCGUUGGAGAAAAAGGUAUGCAGGAAUCAGGAAAAAAUAGGAACUGACCUUCAAAACCGGGUGUGGUAGAUCACGCCCGUAAUCCCAGCACUUGGGAGGCUAAGGCAGCAGGACUGCCCUGAAUGAGGCCAGGUUCAGCUAUACAGUAAGUAUAGUGUGCGCUGUUAUUCUGAGAUUGAUAUAGCCUUUAUCAUCCUGAUAUUACCUUCUCUCUUAAGGGCCUUCAAAAUACAAUUGUUUCCACCUAGAAU